CUCCAAUAGCGUAUAUUUAAGUUGUCUGCAGUUAAAAAGCUCGUAGUUGGAUUUCGGGUGGGGCCUGCCGGUCCGCCGUUUCGGUGUGCACUGGCCGGGCCACCUUGUUGCCGGGGACGGGCUCCUGGGCUUCACUGUCCGGGACUCGGAGUCGGCGAGGUUACUUUGAGUAAAUUAGAGUGUUCAAGCAGGCCACCGCU
rnacentral:rRNA from 1 species